GUCAAUAUCUGUCAAGUUUUCAUGAAGUGAAGUCAUGUUUUAUGCUAUAUUGUCGUAUUCUCUUCGUUCCUCCCCGACUUUUCUUUGUGUAUUACUGUGAUUUCUGUGCACAUUUCAUCGGAAAAGUGCUGAUAUUUUUUUGAUAGCAGUCAUCGAGCCGAAUAGCUUUUUUGUGCUAUCAGUUUUCUUUAAACUCCUUGUGCAAGUCAUAUCUGUGGAACAGUUAUGUGAUUGUAAGUUUUGUGUAUCCAAAUCAAUAAUUUUGUUGUAUAACGGUGUGUGAAGCCCAAAUACGUGAUAAUGUCCACGGUGAGGGCUGGUCGUGUGAGUAAACUUAGGAGAGGCCAUCGUGUGAAGAAUGGAUCAGGACAGUAAGGUGCAUGAUCUUAGUGAUGGUCGCUUGAUCUGUCGCCGGGCUGAAGCUGCGACUAGACCGGACCUAUCUUUGGGAUGAAAUGUUUUGAGAAUGAUGGCCAUAAUGGAGGGGGAUAGCGAACAGGUCCCAAAGGAAUUCCUGGAGACGGGGCGGACGGGGCGCAGGAACGCCAUGCCGGACAUACUCCAGCAGCAGGGCGCGGAGGCGACCACCGCCGACCUGCCGGCGAGGCUACAGCAGCUCGCGACCACGGACACAGACGAGCCUCAGCCGUGUACGUCUUACGCGCAAACCGACCCGAAAACAGAAGACGCGCACAAACAGAAAAGAGACGGCUGCAGUUGAGCUAUCUCCCUCACUCACGGUCCUCGGACUGCUAUGGACUUGCCCAAAGCAAAAGUAAUCUCAACCAGGUAACUUAAGCACUGAGUAAUGUAGCCCCCACCUUAAUUAUAGGUAUGGUGUACAAAUAUAGGUCUAAUGUCUUGAAUAGUUAGGUUUGAAUUUGUUUAUAUGAUGGUUGCAGGGGCUCCAAUGUCUAUUAAGAAGGUACUACGUAAUUCACCGAGCACUUGUUCAAAGAACAUAAUAUAGCACUUAUCGCAAAUAUUACAGACAUUUUUAUUUUAAUUACAUUGACUGGAAUAAGAUUACAAAAGGAUUACGAUAACGUAUUGACGUCGUUUAUUUCAUUGUUACUGUCGAACUGUGGUGGAUUGUAUCUGUGUGACGAUAAAAAUGGUCAUUUACCUUUGGCUUUUCAAUGUCAAUGACAUUUCUAGUAAUUUUGCAUUUUAAAACCUGGCGUAGAGAGGUGAACAAUACAGGCUUUGCCCAAUUAAGGUACCAGUCCCCAUAUAUCUACAUAUUAUUUUCUAACAGUAAAAAUAUUACUGCCUGUAUCAGUGGUUGACAGAAUUCAGAAGUCAACGAUGCACUAGUACAGUUAGGGGCAGAUAAAUGCAACCUUUUUAUGCCAUUGGUUCAUAUACAUACAGGACAGGUACAUCUACCCCCGGUUGUACAUAGUGUUUGCAAUAGCUUUGUAAGGAUCAAUAAGAUAUAUUGAUGAACAUGUUUGUGUAAAAUAACUAAAUUAAAUUGGCACUCUUUAGCAUGCAUCUGCCUGCAUACAUAUCAUAGCUAAGCGUUAUUGCCUCGGAUAACUGUCUAGUUAGAAGAAUAUAUAAGAAAGUACAAUGUAAGUUACAUUGCGUAAGUUUUUUCAAUAAUAUUCUGUAUGUUAAAGCUACCGCACAUAGAAACAGAAGGCGGAGCGAACGCGAAUGCGCGCAUUUCGUUUCAUAUGAGUUUGUAUGAAACACGACACAUACACUAACGUACUAACCUCUAGAAAGGCAAACGUAACCCCUUAACGCCUCCGGUUUCUAUUUAUGGCAGUUUUAAAGAAACGGAGCCCCUCGUGUGUGUUAAAUGUAAAUCUUCUCAAUGUGAGGAUAUAAAAUCGUCGAAAAUAAGACAAUAUUGUAUCAAAUGAACGAGAAGGAUUUAUCGAUUUCAUAACGUGAUUGUUAGCAAUUCUAGAUGUUACGUUUCCGAUGCUAUAAGCAUAAGGACUAAGUAGUUUGUGUAGAUAUGUUCGCGCUAGUGUUGCUGCGCGAUAGUUAACUAUCGAUGGUGUUUUGAAAGGACUAAUCGAUAGUUUUGAAAUCGACAGUAACAUGGUAUAUCUGGUUCUAUGUCGAUUGCAAAACUAUCGAUAAUAGUUCAGCAACACUAGUUCGCGCACAAAAUUGAUUCGUAUGUUUUGGCUGUGUUGGGUCAUCAAUGCGAUGAAACUUUGCAUUUUGAAACAGAUUAGGGUUUUAAGGAAAUUGCGAAUCACUUUUGUUUGGUAUUGUACCGUAGAAACUUCAGUGUUAUUAGGUGCGCUGCUUGUAUUUAGGUUACGUAAGGUUGGUUCAAAUUAAUCGUGAAUUCGAAAGCACGUUCCGUAUGUGAUGCAAAACAAACCGCUGAACUGGGGAAUUAUAUAGGUAAAUCAGUUUUUGUUAGUUUAGUCAUAGUUGGUUUGACUUUUGUAUUAUAUGAUUUGAAACUCGUGUUAGUGUAACUAGAUCGCAUUGUUAUCUUUGUUGAUUCAAAGAGUUUAAAUAUUUUUAAACCAAAAUUAAGGUUGAUACCGAAAAACAAAUCUGAAAUAUAUUAUUUUAUUUAGCCAGUUGAAUGAGAACUAUAAUCGUGCUUUCCCUACUCUUAUGUAAUAUGUAUCUAUACCUUCAGCAUGUUCUUACAUACAUAUAACCAUAUCGUCCUGCGAACAUUCCGUUCACAUAUCUUGUUCGAAAAUCUGCUUAAUUUGAAACAACCUUAAACAUGAGUGUUCCUAAUUUAAAUAUAAAACACAAAAUAUACGCUUAGUUUUCAUGAUACACGUUAUAUAAUGCGUUAUUUAUUCGUGAAUAGUGAAAGUUAGAUCGUAUUUUGGAGUACAAUUAUGUUAUAUUAUUUUAUGAGUGAGAUAUGUACGUGCGUACGUAUUAUUUAGUUAUUUACUAUAAUGGUCUGAUUUUAUAGAAAUGACGAUAUUACCAAUGAAGGUAAGUGAUUAACAAUGGGUAGCAGCUUAACCAUACGUGGAUCGUAUGCUUUUGCCUAAUACGUAUGAAAAAUUAAUGGGCACCUAACUAUGGGUAGUUAACUUUAAAUUGCUUGUACAAUGUUACUUUUUGGGCUUAACUUAUAUUAUUAAAAUUAUUUUGUUGGAUUGAAAUGUUUAUGUUAUUAUGUUGAAGACAAUGUAAUAAAAGACAUGUUUAAAUGAGAACUGUUCUUGAAAUUACUUUGAAUCAAGCGUUUGAGGAAAUUUCUAAAUUCCGCCCAAAAUGUAGAAGUACUGUGUGGGGGGGAGGGGGAAGGUUAUUCAACAGAUUUGAUAGAAUCCAAAAAAUUGCGAACAGAACUUGAAUUUUGACUAAUGACGUUCUUUUCGUUUAUUCAAAUUAUUUUUUCAUAAUUUGUACCUUUUAAAAUCCAGAAAAUAUUUUACUCAUCCAUAUCUCCCUUAAGCUGCACGUUCUUAUAAGACAUCGAAUUUAAUUCAACGCUAUUUGAGGCCUAUUCGGUGUUUGGCUGUUGUAUCUGUUAUUUAGAUUUACGAAUACGGUCAAUUUGUGAAGUCAAUAUGAACUAGAGUAUAAUUUUCUAAUUUGCCUUUUUUAGAGAAAAAAAUAAACCGUACUUUAUGAGUUCAAUAGGGAUUCACCUAGUAUAGAAAUUAAAGAAAAUUAUACUCAAGUAUGAACAAGUAUAUUGUAUAGUAACCGUUACAAGAUCCCACAAUACUAUUUACCUACUUACAUUUGUUUUAUUUUAAUUUAUUUAACAAUGAGAUCUAAGGUAGUUCGUAGUGAAAUAACGAUUGUUUAUAUCUUGCCGUAGAAAAAUCUAUAUGCGGUAUAGUAAAUCAAAUGACGCACUUAUAUGCUAACUCUAUUAGAAAAUCAAGAAUAUAAUGUGGAUAUGAGUUUUUUCACUAACUAUAUAAAUCUGAUUUGGUGUCCAUACUCACUAUUAAUAACCACAGUUGAAAUCACUUUAUAUUUAUUGUUUACUAAAUAUGAUCACUUUAAACAUUAGAAAAAAAGAUAUACAUACUGUGUACUUAAAAAUAAAGAUUUUUUAGUAACGUGGGCGGACGCAAAAGCGACGAUAACUAUUUGGCAACAAAAGUACUUGCGCAAACUAAUGUCAAUGGUAAAAUUAUAUAAUUUUGGGUUUGGAACAAUGGUAAUGGAACAAAUUAAGCCUUAUUCACUUUUAGUAAUUGAAACCAGGGCUUGAAUUACCGUUAAGAAAUGGUAUCGUUAUUAAUGUCAAACAGGGUUACCGUAAUAAAUUCAGUACUCUUAAAACGUUACCAGUAAAAUUAACGGUAAGAGGUAUCGUUAAGACUGUUUAACGUUAAUAAGAACGCAAGAGACGCGCACGUGGAUCUUAUUGGUAUUGUCAUUUAUAACGUUAAUUGGAAACGAUAUAUAACGUAAUUUAAUAUCGUUAUAUAACGUUAUAAUAUUACAUUACCGAUAUCACGACUUCAUCGGUUUCAGUCUUAACUUUUUGAAAAUAACCUUAAUUACCGUUACUUUUAGUGGUUUUGUUAACAAGCCCUGCUUGAAACAUUUACUCCGACAAUCAGGGGUCCAAUGAUAAGCGUGAUUACUUGAAAUAGGUUUAUCUACUUCGUACUUUUCAAAUUCCCGUAGAGACGUAAUUUACGUAGUGAGUAAUUGAAAGCGGAAGUUACGAUCUCAGACACAUUUCAAUGUAUUCCUACGCUUUCUGUCAUAACAUAGACAGUGUGUAAGACAAGGCUUAAGCCGGCUUUGUUUUCAUGAAAGUAAAUUUUUUCAUACCAACGUUCUAUUUUCAUUCAGAAUUAAUACUGUGUUUGAAGUACUAUUUGUACUUUUCAGUGAUUCAUGAAUAUUUUCAUUCAUAAAAAAAUGAAGCGUGAUGUCACCUUCUUGGCAGAUAAUUGUGUUAUGUGUUAAACACCAAUAACUGCGCACUUACAAAAUAUUCAUUAUGUGUAGAUGUUGUUUAAUUUAGGUUAUCAUCUUAUUUCUUGAAUUGAUUAGUAGUCGUGUCGUUAGAAAACACAGUUACAAAAAGAUGCUUAGAAUAUGACUUCACGUGAACGGCGAUACAAAUAAUUUAUUAAUGAAUAAACUUCAUUCUAAAUAAUAAAAUUAAAAUAUGCGGCCGAUUUUAUGAGCUUAUUAUUUUAGAAAAAAAAACUGAUAGAUCAAAAAAGGUUUACUUAGCCAAAUACAUGAUGAAGUAAAGGUAGUUACCAUACCUUGAAUAGGUCUUCUAUUAUCACAUUAAAAUCAAAAUACUUGUAGGCUCUGGCCAAUUCCAUUGAGACAUUCCUGGAACGAACAGAACCAAUAUCGAUCAUGAUCGAAGCUGUAUUACAGUAUGUAUUGACGGAUUGAUUUCUUUAUGGCAUGUAUUCAUUUGGUAAAUAGUGUAGCUUAGCUGUGAUUAGUACUGUACAUUCUAUAAACUAGUAAUUUUUUCAGAAUGAUUUAGAUUUACAGAAACGUGUGGGUAGUCAAAUUUUGAGAGUCUUUGUCAAAGCGUGGCCGUAUGUUUAAAAAAAAUAAAGAAAGCAGAUCUACUUGGUUUCAUUUAAAAUUGUUCACACAUCCAGAUACCAGUUUGUAUUAAUGUAUAUAUAUUUAAAAAGAACUCAAGACAUUAUAUGUACCUACAGCUUUAUAAUGUAUGAAACUGUAUGAAUUAGUUUAACUGUAACGGAAAAAGACUUGAGCGACAUCUUUUACUUAACCUAGGCCGGGUCUAGGUCAAGUCUUGAUUUUGAUAGUGGGAGCUGUACAACUUAAACUUAUUAUUACAUUAAUAAAUAAAUAUUAAACCAUUGAGUCAUCGAUGAAUAAUCAAUUGUCUAUUGGAUUGGAAGUUGUUUACCAGUGACUUAUUAUAUUAAACAGACAUCCCUUAUUUUGAAUAUAGAAGUAAUAAAUAGUGUUGGUAAAAAUAAUACUUAUUACUUCUAUGAUUUGGCUAGGUUAUAAUAAUUAUUUGUCAAAAGUUUCUUGACUUUUAAAUACUUGUCUUUAUAAUUAUUCUUCUGGAUCUUGCAAUUUAUUAUAAUAGAACAGUAAUUUUGUGAUUUUAAUUUUCUAGAAUAAUUUGUACAUAACUAUUACAAUACAUAUCUUGUUUUUAUUAUUAAAAGAUGACCUACUUUUAAGACAUUACUUACUAUCUAUAGCUGCAACUAAUUUUCUUGUGAUCAUUUUGUAACAAGAGAAUUAAUUUUCAAACUAAAAAGAAAAAUGAUUAUCGUAUUGUAUACAAUUUAUAUUAUAUAACUGAACAACUAUGUACUUAACUGAUUAUUUCCCUAAAAAAAAAUUAACUUUGCCAAUAAUUGACCAAAUUGAGGUGUUUCUCUGAAAUUCGGUAUGCCGAUAGUCACAUUAUGAGUUAUAAAUUCGAAUAUAAACAUAUACAAAUAGGUUUGAAUUAGUUAUGUUUCAUGAAGUCAUGUUAUUUCACAUGCUCUUAUUUUAUGAAAAGUACUAAAAAGUAGGUACUUAUGAUACGAAAUCAUUUUUCUUUUUAAAAUAUUAUCUCAAUAUUGGUGCACUUAUUUAUAUAUUUUGUAUCUAUUAUUAUUAUUUUAUCAAAUGUAAACUGUUUAAAUCAUUAUGUACACAAUGUUAUCAAAAUAAAUUAAGGAAAUGGAACAGAAUCGCUGAACAAUUAGAAUGUUGUUAAGAAAAUUCGUAACUCCAGUAUGUUAUGUAAGAAAUGCUAGUAUGUAUUUACGAAUUUGUAUCGUUUUAUAUCUAGUUUGACGUCAAACGAAAAAUUAAAAUAAUUAAAAAUUA